rnacentral:rRNA from 1 species
CCUACGGGAGGCAGCAGUGGGGAAUAUUGCACAAUGGGGGAAACCCUGAUGCAGCGACGCCGCGUGAGUGAAGAAGUAAUUCGGUAUGUAAAGCUCUAUCAGCAGGGAAGAAAAUGACGGUACCUGAGUAAGAAGCCCCGGCUAACUACGUGCCAGCAGCCGCGGUAAUACGUAGGGGGCAAGCGUUAUCCGGAUUUACUGGGUGUAAAGGGAGCGUAGACGGCAGUGCAAGUCUGGAGUGAAAGGCGGGGGCUCAACCCCCGGACUGCUCUGGAAACUGUACGGCUGGAGUGCAGGAGAGGUAAGUGGAAUUCCUGGUGUAGCGGUGAAAUGCGUAGAUAUUAGGAGGAACACCAGUGGCGAAGGCGGCUUACUGGACUGUAACUGACGUUGAGGCUCGAAAGCGUGGGGAGCAAACAGGAUUAGAUACCCGUGUAGUC